CUCAGAGUUUGGGUGUCCAAAUCAAAUUUUGGAUCCUUUUGUUUCAACCGUGGGUUAUAUUUAAAAUUGUUCUAAUGUUCUGGAAAUCUGUUCCUUUCCGUUCUGAACCUUUAGAACUUGUUUUGCUACUUCAAAAGUCGAAUUAAAGCUCCAAGAAAAGCUAAUUUUCUUUCCUACUUUGAGGCAGGAUAUCUUUCAGCUCAGGCCUUUGUUUUGAAAUCUGAAAGUACCUUUGUAAAGCUCAUAUAUCUAUCUUUGUGUGUGUUAAAUUUCACAGGUUUUGGUUACAACUUGGUUUGUCAAAUUGCUUGCCAAAAACAGUAGCAGAUUCAGCCAAAAGCUGAGUUUUCUGGGUUUUUAGAUUUUUGCUUCAACUUUGAGAGAGCAUAACUUCUUAUCCAGAGCUUUGUUUUCAAAACCUAAACUAUGCACUUAAGGCUUGUAAUCUAAAUAAAGGUAUGAAUACUUGCCUCACUACGCCUUUGAUUUCAGGCACACCAAACUCAUCUCAAGUUGAAGAACUUGCCUUGAAGUUGCAACCUUUU
rnacentral:lncRNA from 1 species